UUUGAUUUUCACGAACCUCAUUCGAACUCGAGACUUCGCCGGGCUGUGUUUGGUUGUGAUUUUUGUGUUUUUUUUACUUAGCUUUUUGAUUUUCUUUUUUUUCCCCAGUUGGAAAAAUAAUACAAGUGUAGAUCAAAAUGAAAUACUUAGUUCUCGGAUCCGUUGUAUUGUUGGCAGCUGUCUGCUUAGCUCAGCCAAUCGCUCAACAAAAACUCGCUGAAAACAACCCAGCUGACCCCAGACAGAAAAGAAGUCUUCUCUUGGGAUUAGGUUUGGCCAAAGGUGCCGCCGUCCUCGGCGGUCUCGGAGCUGCUAAAGUUAUCGGCGCCGGUGUCAUCGGUGCUGGAGCUGUCGGCGCCGGAGCCCUCAUCGGAGGCGCUGCUUUGGCUAAAUUCAAACACUACGGUGGUGGCUACGGUGGCUACGGUGGAUACUACGGUGGCUACGGAGGCGGUUACGGAGGUUACGGAUAUGGCGGAUACGGAGGAUACGGAUACCCGAUCAGCAAAAGCUACGUUAUCGAAGAACCCGCCCCAGUAGUUGUUGCCCAACCUGCUGUACAUGCUGUGCCCGCUGUCUACGCUCAACCCGCUGUCUAUGCUCAACCUGCUGUUGUUGCCGCCCCAUCUUAUGUAUCGUACCCGAGCUACGGAGUUGGUAGCUUUGCUAGUGCUGGAAGCUUCGCCCAUGCUGGUUAUGGAGGUUAUGGAUACUCGCCAUGCUAAGAACCUAAAUCAAUAUUUUUAAUCUUGCUCUAAAAGACGUGAACCUCCAGUGAAAAAGCUAAUGACACUACUGGAAAAAAGGUGAUAAAAAAUAAACUUUCUAUCAAAAAACGCGAGCUCAAUUCCUACACCAGUGUCAAAAAUUUCAACAAAAAAAAAUGUAUAAUUUAUUCAACGUUGUUUGUUCUUUAUUAUUUUCAUUAUUGUAAUAAUAGUGUUUUAAUAAACGUAUUUUUUUUUCAA